GACGGAAGGUGCAAGCGUUGCUCGGAAUCAUUGGGCGUAAAGGGUGCGUAGGCGGCCGUGCAAGUCUGGCGUGAAAGCCCCGGGCUCAGCCCGGGAAGUGCGCUCGAAACUGCGCGGCUCGAGUGCCGGAGGGGAGAGUGGAAUUCCUGGUGUAGCGGUGAAAUGCGCAGAUAUCAGGAGGAACACCGGUGGCGAAGGCGGGUCUCUGGGCCGAUAUUGACGCUGAGGAGCGAAAGCGUGGGGAGCGAACAGG
rnacentral:rRNA from 1 species